rnacentral:rRNA from 1 species
GAUGAACGCUGGCGGCGUGCCUAACACAUGCAAGUCGAGCGAGAUGUAUAUGGACGAAACUUCGGUCUAGGAAAUAUAUUGACAGCGGCGGACGGGUGAGUAACGCGUAGGCAACCUGCCCUUAACACAGGGAUAGCCUCGGGAAACCGGGAUUAAAACCUGAUAAUGCCAAAUAGUCACAUGGCUGUUUGGCCAAAGAUUUAUCGGUUAAGGAUGGGCCUGCGUCUGAUUAGUUUGUUGGUGGGGUAACGGCCUACCAAGACUACGAUCAGUAGCCGACCUGAGAGGGUGAUCGGCCACAUUGGAACUGAGACACGGUCCAAACUCCUACGGGAGGCAGCAGUGGGGAAUAUUGCACAAUGGGCGAAAGCCUGAUGCAGCAACGCCGCGUGAGCGAUGAAGGCCUUUGGGUCGUAAAGCUCUGUCCUUGGGGAAGAAAAAAAUGACGGUACCCAAGGAGGAAGCCCCGGCUAACUACGUG